GGUGAAUGUCAUAUGAAACAGAAACAAUCAAGUUGUCACAAAAUUUCAUGCAUAAUGUACCUCAUUGGCAUGAUGCUAAAAAAUUACAUGCAGCAAACCAUACAGAUUUAGUGGAUAUGGAGCAAAAUUCACACAUCUGAUCUAAGGGUUUAUGUCAAUACAGCAUUAUUACUUUAAUUUAAUGCCUUAUUAUUACUUUAAUUUAAUACCUUUCUCCUCAAGUAAAAAUUACUCCAAUUAACUCCACAAAAUGACAGGUUUUAAUUGCUCAAUACAAUUUUGUAUGAACAUACAACUUGGAAAUUGAAACUCAAAAAGUUUCAACCUUAUGUUUUGC
rnacentral:misc_RNA from 1 species